GUGCCCACUUUGGCAGCACAUACACUGAAGCUGGGUCGACAGAGAGGAUUAGCAUGGCCCCCGCAGAAGGACGGCAUUCAAAUUCGUGAAGUGUUGCAUAUUUUU